GGUGAGAUGGCCGAGUGGUUAUGGCGCCGUGUUCAGGCCUUUGUUCAAGCAGCAAAACCUUGAACAAAAAUUCGCGGUGGAGCAAUCCGCGUGGGUUCGAGUCCCACUCUCAUCA